rnacentral:misc_RNA from 1 species
AUCUCAGCCAUGGCCACCU